UGUUAGCCUAUAGCUGGGAUAUUAAUCCUGUCCACACAGUAUGAGGAUUAUGAAGACAGUCUCCUGCACUUCUCUCUUCUUUAAACGUGGAGGCAGCACUCUUGCAGCAGGUCCAAUAACCUGACACAAUCUAUGAAUCAUUUAUCUGAAUUCUCAGGAAGAACGAGGUCUUCUAAGAAAAAGGGUCACAAUGACCACUACUUUCAGCCAGUGGAGCUGUCCCAAUUGCCUGUGGUGCUGGAGAGACUCAGGAAAGCAUAUCUGCUGUUAACAUAUUUUCUAAAAACUAUAAUGUCUCUUUGUUAAAAAAGGAACCAUCGUGUUGAAAGUUAUUAUCUCUGCUAACACAAUUAAAUUUGUGUGUUAGUCUGAAGUGGCACUGGAUCAAUGAAAAACAAUAUAUCGGUUGGUGCUUUUUUUGGUUUGUUUUCUCCAAAGUUGAUUUUUAAACUAUUUUUGUGUAACACACACACAUAAAUAAAUACACAUACAAUUACUUUCUGAAAUAUAUUUAUCUUCCCAUUUUAUAAACUCUGGAGUUUUAUUUUCUUAAGAAGGCAAAUGAUUAUAAUAAUAGUUUCUUCUCAUUUACUGAAUUGAUACUAAAAGCAAUUAAGCUGAGGGAAGACUUCAUCUCAAAAUGAAGUCAAGAGUUCUUUUCAAGGAUUCUAUAUGAAAAGGGGCUAAUAAAUGGACUGUCAGCCUAAUAAAUCUAACUACACAAAUAAGAUGUGUAGUAUCAAAUAAGGAAAUGAAAACAAGUAAUUGCUAUAUAGUGUCACCUUUAAAAUACCAGAAAUUUAAAAUACGUGAUAACUUAUUUUUCAAAUAGGAUUCUAAAUGAUGUCAGAUAUGUUUCAUUAUUUUUCAUCAAACCCACAGUUGGAAACCUCUGGACCUUCCAGGUUCCUCUGCUGUUUUUCAUGGCAUUCUUCUACACCUUGCCUUGCCUUCUAUUUUCCAUUUAGAGAAAAACUUACUCCUAUUUUUUGUUGACAGAUGAUAGAAUUUGUUUGACUUGCAUACUUAAAUAGCUCUAAAAUUUUAGCCAAGUGACCUAAUCUUAAUCACAUUGUUUCUCUUUAUUUACGAAAAUGAAGGUCUUUAAAAUUAUGUUAGCAAAUUAUUUACAAAAGACAUAAAAGGAAGAUGAAAAUAGGUAACAAAUUUGUUUUUUGGUCUUAGAGUUAGUAGAAAGUGAUGGGACUAAUCAGUAU